GAAAUGUUUUCACUGUGGCCAUGAACCUCGGUGUUUGUAGGUGGACUUCACUAUCUUUGAGAGUUCAAGUGCGGGUCGAACAAUCGAUUCCUCCUCCUUUUCUUUUUCAAGUUUCCUGUCGUUCUUUUGCCCAGAUCAGCAUUGAAGGAAAAUAGGAAGGGCAGUGUUGUAUUCUGGAGUAGCGAUCAGCUCUUCUGGAGGUAAAGUUCUUUUUGCUACGAGGUUUUGUCUUUGGUGGGGGCCUGAGGUUGAUUUUCCUGCUGUACAAAUACCAGGCUAAUAAAGGAAGCUUGAGCCCAGUAAUUCACGGCAAGCCAGUUUGACGGAGCCCUUUUAGUGUGACGGGUGCUUUUCAGAGCUAAUAUCUUGCUGAUAUUAACAGCCGUGCACACGGAGUGAAAUCUGCAAUGUAAAAACCAACGGCUUGCUAAAAAUUUCCAAGAUCGCACAUCUCGCUGUCCCAUUCAUUUCCUUGACCUUUUGCAGGGGGCGGGGGAAGAGAAGGAGGUGCUGGAGCAUGGCA